UGAAGUUUAUGUUUUUUUCUUUUGCUUUAUAUGAAUUGUGUCUGCUUUAAAAAGUAUACAUAGAAAGAUCAGAUGAGAUAAUCAAAACUGGUUUCAGACUUUGUCUUUUCUCUGCAGCUAAUUGGUUGUCACGGUGCCAAGGGAUAAGAACACUAAUAAAGAAGAUUAAUAGACACCAAUCUAAAUUGACUGUAGAUAGAUGUGUUGCUCUGCCAGCAGUCACAAUAAAGAACACUAAUACAGACAUAAAGGAUCUAUUUUAGAGUUACUCUCAGGUUUGAGAAAAAUAGAAUUAAAAGUUUUAAGAGAAAAA
rnacentral:lncRNA from 1 species